UUUUAACCUGGUACCUAAGUAAAGGCUCACUAACGGAAUAUUUUACUUUUUUAGUGAUUAGGUAUUAUUAAAAAUAAACUGUACAUUAUUUUAAUGUAAACUAAUUCUAUAUUUACAUAAAAAAGUAACUUAAAACUGGUAGAGGGCAUCGAUCCUCAAUGGUAAUGUACCCAAAAGGCUGGCGGCAUGGGCGGCAUUAUGCCACGCGCGCGCGGCGCGGCUCGGCGUAUUGCACGCGUAUUGAUUGGAUAAGUUAAACUUUAGGCGAAAUCAUAGAGUAUAGUAAUAGAUUGAGCGAAAUAUAAGCCUGCCGUGAAAAAUAAAUAAUGAAGUUGACUAUCAAAACUAGGCAGUAUGGUCGAAAGACUUCAGCCUGCCCUAUGGGCAAAAAAAAAUAAAAAAAUUUGACUAUCAAAAUGACAAUGACAACAAAAAUUGACAAUGACAUAUUUUUGUCAUUGUAAUGAUUACACUACUAACAGAAAGAAAUGCAGAUCACUCACAGAGUAAUUUUAUUUUUAUAGAUGCAGAUCGACCCAUAUUUUGUAAAAUUGCGGUUGCAAUUUUAAUACUCAUUUAUUGAAUGCUGCAACUGCUGCAAGACACAAGGUACAAUCAUUUCUCAUAAAUGGAGACCGGGAAACCUCAAGUUACAAGUUCACGGAAAGACAUUACUUAUAAACCAAGUGCAUGGAGUGUGCAUCAGUUUGAAAUAUGGAGCGGUGACCUGUUGUGCAAAGCUGUAGCGUUGCGCGUCGAUGGAGCCCUGCUGCUCUGGGUCGGCAGCGGCGGCGCGCCGGAGCUGAGCGAGGUGGCGCUGGGCAUGCCGGGAGCGGGCCGCGCGGCGCUGGCCACCACGCUGGUGGGCGCGGACGGCGCUGCGACGGCGCUGGCUCGCCGCCUGUCCGCCGCGCUCGCUCGACCUGUGUACGUGUGCAGCGGCCUUGUGUUCGACCGCUUCACGAUGCCACUCGUCGAAAGUGGACUUAUUACAGAAAUUAAAAGUAGGCCAGAAUGCUUUUAGACUUGUUACUACUGUAAAUAAGAAAGAAGCCAGUGUGCCGGCUUAUUGCGAUAUUAAAAUUUGAUUGUUACUCUAAAAGAUAAGUGGAAUAAAGUGCAAAUGUGCCAAAUGGAUGUAAUCUUGUUACAUCAGAGAACACCUUGGGGGGAGGGUAAACUCAGUUUCUUGCAUUUUGUUCAGAUUUUGUAUUUCAUUGUUCUUUCCAGGUGACCAUAAAAAGUGUACAAGAUAAUAUCUAUUAUGCCACUUGCUGAAACUCAAAUGCUCAAUGUUUUUCCUCAAAUAUGUUGGAACAAGCUGUUCUGACAAAAGUAUAACAAUGUUCAUGAAGACAUUCUUAUAUUUGACUAGCUGAUCCCGCAAACUUCGUAUCGUUUAAACCUUCCCUGGAACUCUACAAACAUUUUAACACCAAAAAAAGCCAAAUCGGUCCAGCCAUUCUCGAGUUUUAGUGAGACUAAUGAACAGCAAUUCAUUUUUAUAUAUAAGAAGAUAUCAGUCUAGUAAUAAAACAAAAUAUUACAGGAAUUGACGAAGUCAUCAUCUUUAAUGUCAGAUUGACAAUGCAGAACAGCAUAGUAGUAAUUAUCCUGAGUUGUUGUGAACUGUUUUUUUGGUUACAUAGAGUAAAAUGUUUGGUAGGUGUUUUAUAAAGGAGUCUUUUUGAAAAACAACAUGAUGACUACAUUAUAAUAUUGUGCUUAUUAUGCCAAGCUGGCAAGCUCCCAUGGCCUAUGUGCAGGGGACAUAACUGUCAAUAGGGUUGUUAUAAAGAGUUGUUUUCAGAGCCUUCAUACAACUGCUAUGUGAAUGAUGACAAAAAUAUAAUGAAAUUGGGAAGUCAAAUGUUUGCGGUUGGUUCGAGUGUGGGUAAACAGAAACAUCAUGUCAUUACAAGUUGGUUCUUUAAAGUUUCAGAAGGCAAAAUAUAUUGCUGUCAUUUGAACAUCUCGGCUGUUAUUGUCCCGCCUACCCCUAUGUUGGCCCCUGCUGCCUAUGUUCUGCUCCCUGAUAAGAACCAUGGAACUAUGACUUAUGAGCCUGCAAGGCUCUAGUACCUAUUCAUGCUUCUCAGAUAUUUGGAUGACAGUAACUUCUACAUAGGUUCUAGUUAAUUUGCUCGGCAGUAAGUUUUUUUGAUAAGUUUUUAUUCUUUUUGUAUUCAAACAAGUUUAUUUUAUUAUUCAUUUUGAUGUGUAAUUAAUAAUAGGUAUCCCUAUUUAAACCAUGACACUUGUGACAUUGCAAUACUAACAUAUACGUAUGACGUCGGAUGUCCGAAGUUACCUACUAUACCAAAAAAUCGACUUUCGAAGUUCAUGUAACUCACCUAGUGAGAAAAAAAUAAAACAUAUUUGGAACUAAUUACUGCAUGCGACACCGUAGGCGUUUAUUUUUGACAUUAUUAGCUUAGCAGAAUCGGGCCCCAGGGACUUGAUUCUGUUAAGUUAAUAAUGUAACAAUUGAAUCGCAAUAGCCGUUUUAACCUUAGCUGCUACAAAUAUCAGAGAGUAUAUAAUCACUACGUUUUACAAAUAUAAGACCAAUCUUAUUGACAUUUCAUUGGUUUGCCAUUGAUUUCUCAUUUGGUCUCUCUAUCUAUGGUCUGCAGCAGACGAUUGCAUUAUGAUCGAAGAGCAGACAGUCCCGUAUUUUACUAGAUUUCACUAGUGUUUGACCUUUCAAUCUAUACCUACUCAGAGGGACACGGUUACUCCUAGAGUAAGUGACCACAGAGCAUUUUGAGGGGUUCAAAUCUGACUUAUGCUUGCUUGAAUAUCUGCUUGUGAUGAAAUAGAUGCUUAUAUUUUCAUGUCAUCUGCAAAACAAAGCAACCCUUACAAAGAUCACAAAAAGUCAUCAUCCUCCAAGCCUUUUCCCAACUAUGUUGGGGUCGGCUUCCAGUCUAACCGGAUUCAGCUGAGUACCAGUGCUUUUACAAGAAGCGACUGCCUAGCUAACCUCCUCAACCCAGCUACCCGGGCAACCCGAUACCCCUUGGUUAGACUGGUGUCAGAUUUACUGGCUUCUGACCCGUAACGCCUGCCAAGGAUUUUCAAUGACAGCCGGGACCUACAGUUUAACGCCAGUUUAAGUGCCAUCCGAAACAGUUAUUGGUGUCUAAGAUAUACUUAGAAAGUACAUACAAACUUAGAAAAGUUGCAUUGGUACUUGCCUGACCUGGAAUCGAACCCGCGCCCUCAUACUCGAGAGGUUGGUUCUUUGCAUUUAUUUAAUUUUGUAUAAUAUAAUAUGUAUGUUAGUAAUUAAGGUAUAUAUCUAUGGGCCAAUGCAGCCUGAAAAUAAAGGUAUUUGAUUUGA